UAAAGACUCUCGGCAACGGAUAUCUCGGCUCUUGCAUCGAUGAAGAACGUAGCGAAAUGCGAUACUUGGUGUGAAUUGCAGAAUCCCGUGAACCAUCGAGUCUUUGAACGCAAGUUGCGCCCGAAGCCAUUAGGCCGAGGGCACGCCUGCCUGGGUGUUGCAC
rnacentral:rRNA from 19 species